rnacentral:lncRNA from 1 species
CAAUAGGGUCUAAUCCUGUUUGGUCCUCAUUGGAUGUCUCUCCACUUGUAGGGGAAAAAACUGGAGAAUAAUGGUUGUGUCAUCAUGACAAACAACUGACAUAGUUGAGGCCAGUCGAAGGCCCAGAGCAACCCUGGUCCUGUAGUCAGAGACGACUUAUGAAAAUAAAUGAAUCUGGCUCAUUGACUUGAGUUCUUGUACCCAAACUGGAAAGGUGUGGUACCUGACACAGGAACAAAGUCUGUCUGAAAUCAGCUGUCCGGGAUGUCAUUUUCUCUAGUGCAGAGACUCGAUUGCCUAAAUUGGUAGCAGAGGUGGAUGUUUCCUAACAUGAUCUUCCUUGGCCAACAGUGACUGACAUCUGAGAUUCAGAGCCAGGGUUGAGUCCUCCUCACAGGGCGAGUUCUCUGACAAGGAAGUUUUGCAACCUAAUUUACAGCUGGAGCCAAGCUUGUCAGUGAGUGCCAGAGGGAAACUGUCGCAAUCGGCAGGCAA